rnacentral:rRNA from 1 species
CAGUCGCCACGGUAAUACGUAGGGUGCGAGCGUUAAUCGGAAUUACUGGGCGUAAAGCGUGCGCAGGCGGUUUUGUAAGACAGGCGUGAAAUCCCCGGGCUCAACCUGGGAAUGGCGCUUGUGACUGUAAAGCUAGAGUGCGGCAGAGGGGGAUGGAAUUCCGCGUGUAGCAGUGAAAUGCGUGGAUAUGCGGAGGAACACCGAUGGCGAAGGCAGUCCCCUGGGCCUGCACUGACGCUCAUGCACGAAAGCGUGGGGAGCAAACAGGAUUAGAUACCCCAGUAGUCCCUGUCUCUUAUAC